CCUCUCUCAGGGUCACUCCUGGAGAGUUUCCAGUACUCUAUCAGUCUCGACUAAGGAAGGGAGAGUCAAGCAGAGGCCUGCCCAAUCCAUUCCUAGCUUGGCCAGUGGCUAGCGAGUGGAUGGCAAUCUGCUACAAGU